CGAAACAUCAGGCAGUGCUUUUUAUAUGUAUAUCUGGAAACAAUUUUUGAUGACUUUUUGGACACCCUUUUUUUAAAACAGGGGAUUCAGAUACUUUUAAAACCAAAAGGACUAAAAAAAUCAACAAACAAUUCAAGUGCAGGAGCACACCGAUAACAUCCACUAUUGGAUUCUUCCAUUCUUCCUCCAUCACUAAGGGUAGGCCACCCAAACAUUUCAAAUCUUGAUGUUUGUCAACAUUUCCCCAGAGGCAGACCGCUUCCCGGAGACCCUGAACUCUCUGCGGUUUUCCAGCAUGGCCUCACACUAUUUAAUUUUUUUAACACCACAUACAAUUCACUCAAGAACAUGUUCAUAUGCUGUGCAUAUUUUGUUUAAAUAUCUGAAUAACAAUGGCAUAUUUGUAACUGUUUAUUUAUUCUGUUGCAGGUGAAGGAUUGUGUUAUUGGCACAGCAUCAGCUAACGAAGUAAAAGCCCACAAUAAGUAAACCGGAAGUAAAAAGGGGGAAAUGUAAAUGGACUAUUUUUUAAAUAUAAUUUGCAUCAAUAAAGUUGUACAAACAUGGUC